rnacentral:rRNA from 1 species
AUUGAACGCUGGCGGUAGGCCUAACACAUGCAAGUCGAACGAGUGGCGGACGGGUGAGUAAUGUAUCGGAAUCUGCUCUGUAGUGGGGGAUAACGAAGGGAAACGGAGGCUAAUACCGCAUACUAUCGAAUGAACCGAUAUGGGAUUAGCUAGUAGGUGGGGUAAAGGCCCACCAAGGCGACGAUCCGUAGCUGGUCUGAGAGGAUGAUCAGCCACACUGGAACUGAGACACGGUCCAGACUCCUACGGGAGGCAGCAGUGGGGAAUAUUGGACAAUGGGCGCAAGCCUGAUCCAGCCAUGCCGCGUGGAUGAAGAAGGCCUUCGGGUUGUAAAGCACUUUUGUUGGGAAAGCGGUACCCAAAGAAUAAGCACCGGCUAACUUCGUGCCAGCAGCCGCGGUAAUAC